rnacentral:rRNA from 1 species
GACGAACGCUGGCGGCGUGCUUAACAUAUGCAAGUCGAACGGUAAGGCCCUUCGGGGUACACGAGUGGCGAACGGGUGAGUAACACGUGGGUGAUCUGCCCUGCACUUCGGGAUAAGCCUGGGAAACUGGGUCUAAUACCGGAUAGGACCCUGGGAUGCAUGUCCUGGGGUGGAAAGCUUUUGCGGUGUGGGAUGGGCCCGCGGCCUAUCAGCUUGUUGGUGGGGUGAUGGCCUACCAAGGCGACGACGGGUAGCCGGCCUGAGAGGGUGACCGGCCACACUGGGACUGGGAUACGGCCCAGACUUCUACGGGAGGCAGCAGUGGGGAAUAUUGCACAAUGGGCGCAAGCCUGAUGCAGCGACGCCGCGUGAGGGAUGACGGCCUUCGGGUUGUAAACCUCUUUCAGCAUCGACGAAGCGAAAGUGACGGUAGGUGCAGAAGAAGGACCGGCCAACUACGUGCCAGCAGCCGCCGUAA